UUGUUGUUAGGAAAUCAUUUGUGUUUCCUCUUUCCAUGGUUAUCAGCCUUCUAUAUUUGAAACACCAAUGAUUUGGUGGGAGUGUAAUUGACCUAUAUUAUUUUGUUAUAACUGACAUCUUUUAGAUAUCCUUUGAUUAUAUAUUAUUGUGCCUUUUGCAUUAAUGUUUGUGAUUCUUUUGCCUCUAGUUAAUAAUCUUACAUUUAUGGGGAAUUACACCAAAAAUAGUUUACAUGACUUUUAUUUUUGUAGGCUAUGUUGCUUUUCUUUUCCGGGGUCGGCAUAAAAAAAGGGACGGUCAACGUUCGCAUAUUCGUACUGGAAUUUUGUUGAUGAAGGAUAUUGCCAGUUUCCAUUCAUCCUUUUAUUUAGCACCUACCUGGAAGGCAGGGCAUGGAGGAGGGCUCCCCAGCAUCAUGAUGGAAACCAUCUAGUUCUCUCCAUGUGCAUCCGAGUUUCGUCUUCUGACAUCCACCUUCGCCCAGGAUGGUCUGUUCAGCCUCUCCAGCGGCGCCGCUGCGGGGUUCCCUCACCGCUCCGGUAGUCCAUGCCUCUCCUCUUUAGCUCCUCCAUGGCCUCUGUGGGGGUGUUGUACGUAACUGGGCCGCUGUCAAAUAUCACCCGAAGCUUGGCUGGUGGUGGGGUUUGGAAGCGUAGACCUUUCUCUUUCAGAAGCUUUCUGAUAGCUCCAGAUCUAUGAUUCUGAAAAGCAAAUCUCAAUGGAGUGGGGGUUCG